GUGGGUGUAGCUCAGUUGGUAGAGCUCUGGGUUGUGGCCUCAGCGGUCGUGGGUUCAAGUCCCAUCAUCCACCCCA
rnacentral:tRNA from 1 species